rnacentral:rRNA from 1 species
GAUGAACGCUGGCGGCGUGCCUAAUACAUGCAAGUCGAGCGAACGGACGAGAAGCUUGCUUCUCUGAUGUUAGCGGCGGACGGGUGAGUAACACGUGGAUAACCUACCUAUAAGACUGGGAUAACUUCGGGAAACCGGAGCUAAUACCGGAUAAUAUUUUGAACCGCAUGGUUCAAAAGUGAAAGACGGUCUUGCUGUCACUUAUAGAUGGAUCCGCGCUGCAUUAGCUAGUUGGUAAGGUAACGGCGUACCAAGGCAACGAUGCAUAGCCGACCUGAGAGGGUGAUCGGCCACACUGGAACUGAGACACGGUCCAGACUCCUACGGGAGGCAGCAGUAGGGAAUCUUCCGCAAUGGGCGAAAGCCUGACGGAGCAACGCCGCGUGAGUGAUGAAGGUCUUCGGAUCGUAAAACUCUGUUAUUAGGGAAGAACAUAUGUGUAAGUAACUGUGCACAGCUUGACGGUACCUAAUCAGAAAGCCACGGCUAACUACGUG